rnacentral:rRNA from 1 species
UACAGAGGUGGCGAACGUUGUUCGGAUUUACUGGGCGUAAAGGGUGCGUAGGUGGACGGGUAUGUUGGAUGUGAAAUACCAAGGCUUAACCUUGGAAUUGCAUUCAAAACUGCAAGUCUGGAGUGCAGAAGGGGAGAGCGGAAUUCUUGGUGUAGCGGUGAAAUGCGUUGAUAUCAAGAAGAACACCGGUGGCGAAGGCGGCUCUCUGGUCUGCGACUGACACUGAGGCACGAGAGCUAGGGGAGCAAACAGG